UGGGGAAUAUUGGACAAUGGGCGAAAGCCUGAUCCAGCCAUGCCGCGUGUGUGAAGAAGGUCUUCGGAUUGUAAAGCACUUUAAGGUGGGAGGAAGGGCAGUAAGCGAAUACCUUGCUGUUUUGACGUUACCGACAGAAUAAGCACCGGCUAACUCUGUGCCAGCAGCCGCGGUAAUACAGAGGGUGCAAGCGUUAAUCGGAAUUACUGGGCGUAAAGCGCGCGUAGGUGGUUCGUUAAGUUGAAUGUGAAAGCCCCGGGCUCAACCUGGGAACUGCAUCCAAAUCUGGCGAGCUAGAGUAGGGCAGAGGGUGGUGGAAUUUCCUGUGUAGCGGUGAAAUGCGUAGAUAUAGGAAGGAACACCAGUGGCGAAGGCGACCACCUGGGCUCAUACUGACACUGAGGUGCGAAAGCGUGGGGAGCAAACAGG
rnacentral:rRNA from 1 species